rnacentral:rRNA from 1 species
AUUGAACGCUGGCGGAAUGCUUUACACAUGCAAGUCGAACGGUAGAGGGGGCAACCCCUUGAGAGUGGCGAACGGGUGAGUAAUAUAUCGGAACGUGCCCAGUCGUGGGGGAUAACGUAGCGAAAGUUACGCUAAUACCGCAUACGAUCUACGGAUGAAAGCGGGGGAUCGCAAGACCUCGCGCGAUUGGAGCGGCCGAUAUCAGAUUAGGUAGUUGGUGAGGUAAAGGCUCACCAAGCCAACGAUCUGUAGCUGGUCUGAGAGGACGACCAGCCACACUGGAACUGAGACACGGUCCAGGCUCCUACGGGAGGCAGCAGUGGGGGAUUUUGGACGAUGGACGCAAGUCUGAUCCAGCCAUUCCGCGUGCAGGAUGAAGGCCCUCGGGUUGUAAACUGCUUUUGUACGGAACGAAAAGGUCUCUCUUAAUACGGGGGGCUCAUGACGGUACCGUAAGAAUAAGCACG